rnacentral:misc_RNA from 1 species
GAUGAAGAACGCAGCGAAAUGCGAUAAGUAAUGUGAAUUGCAGAAUUCAGUGAAUCAUCGAAUCUUUGAACGCACAUUGCGCCCGCCAGUAUUCUGGCGGGCAUGCCUGUUCGAGCGUCAUUACAACCCUCAGGCCCCCGGGCCUGGCGUUGGGGAUCGGCGGAGCCCCCCGUGGGCACACGCCGUCCCCCAAAUACAGUGGCGGUCCCGCCGCAGCUUCCAUCGCGUAGUAGCUAACACCUCGCGACUGGAGAGCGGCGCGGCCACGCCGUAAAACACCCAACUCUUCUGAAGUUGACCUCGAAUCAGGUAGGAAUACCCGCUGAACUUAAGCAUAUCAAAAGCGGAGG